rnacentral:rRNA from 1 species
GACGAACCGUCCAAACGUUAUUCGGAAUCACUGGGCUUACAGAGUUCGUAGGCGGUCUGGAAAGUUGGGUGUGAAAUCCCUCGGCUCAACCGAGGAACUGCGCUUGAAACUACCAGACUCGAGGGAGAUAGAGGAAAGCGGAACUGAUGGUGGAGCGGUGAAAUGCGUUGAUAUCAUCAGGAACACCAGUGGCGAAGGCGGCUCACUGGACCGGUACUGACGCUGAGGCGCGAAAGCGUGGGGAGCAAACAGG